rnacentral:rRNA from 1 species
AACGAACGCUGGCGGCAUGCCUAACACAUGCAAGUCGAACGAGACCUUCGGGUCUAGUGGCGCACGGGUGCGUAACGCGUGGGAACCUGCCCUUAGGUUCGGAAUAACUCCCCGAAAGGGGUGCUAAUACCGGAUAAUGUCUUCGGACCAAAGAUUUAUCGCCUUUGGAUGGGCCCGCGUUGGAUUAGCUAGUUGGUAGGGUAAAAGCCUACCAAGGCGACGAUCCAUAGCUGGUCUGAGAGGAUGAUCAGCCACACUGGGACUGAGACACGGCCCAGACUCCAAGGGGGGGAGGAAGGGGGGAAUAUUGGACAUGGGGGGAAGGCCUGACCCGGCAAUGCGGGGUAAGGGAGGAGGGCCUUAGGUUUGUAAGGCUCUUUUACCCGGAAGGUAAUGACAGGAACGGGGGAAAUAAGCCCCGCCAACUUCCUG